AAUUUGGAGUUACCACCGAACACAAGAAGACUAGCGGGAAGACCAAAGAUAGGGAGGUACAAACACGAAUUUGAAAACAAAAUUCAAAACAAAUGCAGUAGGUGCCAAGAAAAAGGACACAACAGGAAAACAUGCAAUAAUCUACCGGUUUUAAGACCAAAAAAGGUUUGAUAUAGUACAUAAACAAAAAGAGUGUAAAUACAAG
rnacentral:lncRNA from 1 species